GGGCGGUGUGGAUUCUUUGUGCAGUUGUGAUAAUGGGUGUUAUCACAGCCGUCUGAUAGCCGGACGAAACAAGCGCACCUGAGCUC